rnacentral:rRNA from 1 species
CCAUUGACAGGCACAGAGAUGUGCUCUCCUUCGGGCAAUGGAUACAGGUGGUGCAUGGUUGUCGUCAGCUCGUGCCGUGAGGUGUUGGGUUAAGUCCCGCAACGAGCGCAACCCUCAUUGUUAGUUACUACCAUUCAGUUGAGGACUCUAAUGAGACUGCCAACGACAAGUUGGAGGAAGGUGGGGAUGACGUCAAAUCAUCAUGCCCUUUAUGACCUGGGCUACAAACGUACUACAAUGGCCAAUACAAAGAGAUGCGAAGCGGUGACGUGGAGCGAACCUCAGAAAGUUGGUCUCAGUUCAGAUUGAAGUCUGCAACUCGACUUCAUGAAGGCGGAAUCGCUAGUAAUCGCGGGUCAGCAGACCGCGGUGAAUACGUUCCCGGGCCUU